UACAGAGGGUGCGAGCGUUAAUCGGAAUUACUGGGCGUAAAGCGUGCGUAGACGGUUAUCUAAGUCGGAUGUGAAAGCCCCGGGCUCAACCUGGGAAUUGCAUUCGAGACUGAAUAGCUAGGGUGCGGUAGAGGGAAGCGGAAUUUCCGGUGUAGCGGUGAAAUGCGUAGAUAUCGGAAGGAACAUCAGUGGCGAAGGCGACUACCUGGCCUGUUCUUGACGCUGAGGCGCGAAAGCUGGGGGAGCAAACGGG
rnacentral:rRNA from 1 species